rnacentral:lncRNA from 1 species
AUUAACAGUACAGUUAUUUACUUAGAAAUCUAAACAGAAAAAAAAAAAAGAAAUCUAAACAGAAGCUACACAUUUUUGGAUUUGAUAUGACAAUUAGUUAAGGAUUUUUUGAUGGAUUAGGACUGCGAAUGAACGUAUGUGUUGUGGAAAAAUCACCAUACAAAAAUAAUAUAACAAGCAGUUAGAAAGUAUGCUUUGAAAAGGUCGCAGUUUUGUGUAUGUAUAUAAAACAAUCCAAAAAGAAAUCAUUCAUGUAUAUACAAAAAAUAAUAAGUUGCCAUACUUCCAGCAUGAAUGUGUGUAUGGGGGUGGGGGGGCGG